GGUAGGAUGGCUGAAGUCAAGCGGUGGAUUGUAGCUCCAUAUAUAGAGGUUUGAGUCCUCUUUCUAUCA
rnacentral:tRNA from 1 species